rnacentral:rRNA from 1 species
GACGAACGCUGGCGGCGUGCCUAACACAUGCAAGUCGAACGGAGAUAUGAUUUCGGUUGUAUCUUAGUGGCGAACGGGUGAGUAACGCGUGAGCAACCUGACCUUCAGAGGGGGAUAACACCUGGAAACAAGUGCUAAUACCGCAUAAGACCACGACCCGACAUCGGGAUGAGGUCAAAGGAGCAAUCCGCUGAGGGAGGGGCUCGCGUCCCAUUAGAUAGAUGGCGGGGUAACGGCCCACCAUGUCGACGAUGGGUAGCCGAGCUGAGAGGCUGAUCGGCCACACUGGAACUGAGACACGGUCCAGACUCCUACGGGAGGCAGCAGUGGGGAAUAUUGGGCAAUGGGCGAAAGCCUGACCCAGCAACGCCGCGUGAGGGAAGAAGGCCUUGGGUUGUAAACCUCUGUCCUUGGUGACGAAAAAAUAGACGGUAGCCAAGGAGGAAGCCCCGGCUAACUACGUG